rnacentral:lncRNA from 1 species
GACGCCCCCCAGGGACGCGGCUCCACGGGCCAGCCUGGCCACCGCCGUGGCUCGCAAUAGGCAGAACUGUACCUGACUCACGGAAAUGGGCUCCUCGGCGCCGCGGUCGUCCGCAGACUUGGGCACCUCGAGGCGGUCGAUGAAGGUCUGCAGCUCCUUGCGGAAGGCCUUCAUCUGAGCGUUGAUGCGGUAGAGCAGCUCGUGCUCCCGGAUGCGGCUGCCGUCGUCCUCCUCGUCCAUGAGUCCGAACAGGUCCCCGUUGGCCACGUAGAUGCGCGCCUCGGUGAUGAUGGUGCUCGUGUCGGCGAUGAGCCGGUCGAUGGUCUUGCCCAGGCGCUCGGCCUCCGAGCGGAUGUCCUUCAUCUGCUGCCGAUCGGAGAAGCUCUUGGGCCAGGGCCCGGGCGCCGGGUAGAAGGAGCGAGUGGGCGUGAGGCAGCGGAUGUUGCGCACCUCCUCCGAGUCGCUCUCGCCGCCGAUGGGCCCUUCGCGCUUGCGGUGCGGAGGCCGCGAGUCGUCGUCGCUCUCCUUCUUGCCCGCGUCGCUCUCGGCGUCGCUGUCGCGGGGGCUGCCGCGGAUGCCCAGGUGCGAGGCCAGGUCGUAGCGCUGCAUGUUGGACAUAAGCACGCGGUUCUCGUACUGCAGCUGCAUGACCUUGCCGCUGAGCUCGUUGAUCUGCAGGCGCGCCGCCUUCAGCUCCUCCUGCAGGGCCUCGGUCUUGGCGUUGUCGUGGUGCCGCGCGCUGUCGUGGCCGCCGGACUUGUACUUGUACUUGUUGAGCUCCGCCGUGAUGCGCUUGUUCUGCUCCUCCAGGUCGGCCACGUUCCUCCGCAGCAGCUCCGUCUCGUCUUCCACCAGCUGCAGGUGCUGCCGCAGCUCCGACAGGGAUUCGCUCUGCUCCCUCAUGAGCGGGUUGGCCGAGCCGUUGAAGUCAUCGCCCCUAAGGUCGUCCAGUUCCGCCUUCAGGCCUCUGUUCUCCACCUCCAGUUCGACGAUUUUCCUGCCCAGGAUGUUGGCUUCUUCCUCCACCAGCCUUAGCCGUAGCUUGAGCUCGGCCUCCCUAGUGCUGGGAGGGCCUCCGGCUUCUCCUUUGGGCAAAGGACUGUCCAGAUCCCCAUAAAAGGAUCUGUACUUCUGGAGCUCGUGUUCAAAUCUGUCCUUUUCUUUAUCAAUCUUGGCCAUUUUCUUUCUCAUCAAAGCGGCUUCUUCCUUAACAAACUGCAGCUGGCACUUCAGAUCUUCAUUGUCCUCCUCAUUUGGGGGAAAAGAGGGAAAAGGAUAGGAGAUCAUUUUUAUGUAAAUCAAGGAAACAACCAAAAGAGGACACCUGGAUAAAUAAUUUUUCUUGCAAUCCAGAUUUAAUGACAGAGAGAAACAGAAGCAGAUACUGUGUAUUUUCUUCAGAUCACUUAAAUUCUCUGGCAAAUUAAAGAUUAGAACAAUGUUACAUCCUGGAAGCAAAAAGGAAAAGGAAUAUGAAAAGAGAAUAACUGUGGCAUCACUAUUCAGAGAUUAUUAUAUGUUGUAACUGCAUACAACUGUUUGGUGAUCAUUUCAGCAGUGUUUCUUUUGUUUCAUUAUUGCAGUAAUAAAUAUAAAAUCUGUUCAACGA